rnacentral:lncRNA from 1 species
UGUUCUCUAAUCAACCACAUAGAGUUUUUUUUAACACCUUUGAAUAAUGCAAUAGGAACAAUCCAGUGGCUCAAGCCUGUAAUCCCAGCAGUUUGGGAGGCCGAGGCGAGUGGAUCGCUUGAGGCCAGGAGCUCAAGACCAGCCUGGCCAACAUGGCAAAACCCCGUCUCUACUGAAAAUAUAAAAAUUAGCCAGGCGUGUUGGUGCGCGCCUGUAAUCCCAGCUACUCAGGAAGCUGAGGCAGGAGAAGAGCUUGAACCUGGGAGGCGGAGGUUGCAGUGAGCCCAGAUAGCGCCAGUGCACACCAGCCUGGGCCACAGAGUGAGACUCUGUCUCAAAAAAUUAAAAGGAACAAAAUGAACCCAUUUAUACAAAGACUACAAGGGUGGAGAGACUUGGAUAGCAUGCAGGAUAUUCACAAGCAAUUCUGGAAGAAAAAUGGCAGAUGAGUGCAUUCUGUUAUUAAAAUCACAGCUCAGAGUCCUCCCAGGAAAUGGCUGCGGUGUGUAGGGAGCUGUCUUUCACAGUGAUGAAAAGAACUCUAGGUUCAGAGUGGGCAGGUAUCUGGAAGAACAUUUUUUCGCCAGCAUCCCUUUAUUUAUUGAUACGUCGAUGAGAAUAGUACCACAGCCCAAUGACAUUUAUCAUUUCAGUUGGCAGUGUCUCUGAGAGCAAGCUGCAAGAUUUUCAAGCCUUCACUGAGUCUUCUACUGACAUUUAGCUUAAUCUUGACAAGUAUAUCUGACUACUGCAAUGUGUUAAUGAUCAAGGAGUAUGUCAAAUUAUAACAUGUCUGCUGCAGGAAAUUAUGGGGCAAUACAGACAGUGUGCACUGGAUCAACCAUUAUCUAUGCCUGGUGUUAUGACAAAAAGUGAUUGAUUUUGGCAUCAAAAUUAAAGUGUUCGUCUGGUUCAACUUGUUCUUUGUACACCGUCCUUCAUUAUGACAAGCACAUAUAGCAAAAAUACUGUCUUCAAUAUGAACUGUUGAUUAUUGAUUAAACAGAUCACAUUUGGAUGGGCUGCAGUUUCUGCAUGUCUAACGGAUGGGAUCCUUCUGAGAAUGCUAGAGUAGGGAAUCAUGACACCGAGCCACUUCAGUCAUAGACCUUAUUCUUGCACUUU